rnacentral:rRNA from 1 species
UGGGGAAUAUUGGACAAGGGGCGCAAGCCUGAUCCAGCCAUGCCGCGUGAGUGAUGAAGGCCCUAGGGUUGUAAAGCUCUUUCACCGGUGAAGAUAAUGACGGUAACCGGAGAAGAAGCCCCGGCUAACUUCGUGCCAGCAGCCGCGGUAAUACGAAGGGGGCUAGCGUUGUUCGGAUUUACUGGGCGUAAAGCGCACGUAGGCGGACUUUUAAGUCAGGGGUGAAAUCCCGGGGCUCAACCCCGGAACUGCCUUUGAUACUGGAAGUCUUGAGUAUGGUAGAGGUGAGUGGAAUUCCGAGUGUAGAGGUGAAAUUCGUAGAUAUUCGGAGGAACACCAGUGGCGAAGGCGGCUCGCUGGACCAUUACUGACGCUGAGGUGCGAAAGCGUGGGGAGCAAACAGG